rfam:Canis lupus familiaris chromosome 38, whole genome shotgun sequence.
GCCUGGGUGGCUCAGUGGUUGAGCAUCUGGCUUUGGCCCAGGUCGUGAUCCUGGGGUCCUGGGAUCGAGUCCCACAUUGGGCU